UACAGAGCCAGAAGGACUCGUCAUAUGAGAUAACAAGGGCUGAAGCCAGUUGGAUCUAAAGUGCCAAGUUAUUCGUUAUCAGGUGUUCCUGGACAGUUUUGAAACCGAGAUGUCUGAACGCCUCAAAUAAUCAGCAGUAAAGACAACAGAGACAAAUUCUCUAAUACCAAGGUCAAUGCAUUUGACUGCUGUCCAGCCCCGGGUUGCCACCGAAAACUUUAUGCAUCUUGGACUGGAAGAUGGUGUGCUAGUAAGGAAGCUAGCUACCACAGCUUUUGCCACCACAUCUCAGU